rnacentral:rRNA from 1 species
AGUCGAACGAGGGAGCAAUCCCUAGUGGCGAACGGCGGAGUAAGACAUAAGCAACGUGCCCUGAAGACUGGGAUAUACGGUCGAAAGACCGGGUAAUACCGGAUGUGGCCGAGACUCGGCAUCGAGUCUUGACUAAAUGGUUUUUCGCUUCAGGAGCGGCUUAUGACACAUCAGGUAGUUGGUGGGGUAACGGCCUACCAAGCCGACGACGUGUAGGGGGUCUGAGAGGAUGAUCCCCCCGAGUGGGACUGAGACACGGCCCACACACCUACGGGUGGCAGCAGUUAGGAAUCUUGCCCAAUGGGGGAAACCCUGAGGCAGCGACGCCGCGUGGAGGAUGAAGGAUUUAGGUCUGUAAACUCCUUUUACCAGGAAAGACUUAGGACGGUACCUGGUGAAUAAGCCCCGGCUAACUCCGUGCCAGCAGCCGCGGUAAUACGGAGGGGGCAAGCGUUGUCCGGAUUUACUGGGCGUAAAGGGCGCGUAGGCGGUCUGUUAAGCAUGAAGUGAAAUCCCCAGGGCUCAACCCGGGAACCGCUUUGUGAACUGGCAGACUGGAGGAAGGUAGAGGUGUGUAGAAUUCCUGGUGUAACGGUGACAUGUGUAGAUAUCAGGAGGAAUACCCAUGGCGAAGGCAGCACACUGG